UACAGGGGUCCCAAGCGUUGUUCGGAUUCAUUGGGCGUAAAGGGUGCGUAGGCGGCGCGGUAAGUCGGGUGUGAAAUCUUGGAGCUUAACUCCGAAACUGCAUUCGAUACUGCCGUGCUUGAGGACUGGAGAGGAGACUGGAAUUUACGGUGUAGCGGUGAAAUGCGUAGAUAUCGUAAGGAAGACCAGUGGCGAAGGCGGGUCUCUGGACAGUUCCUGACGCUGAGGCACGAAGGUCAGGGGAGCAAACGGG
rnacentral:rRNA from 1 species